GAUAAACGCUGGCGGCGUGCUUAACACAUGCAAGUCGAACGAAGUUUUUCUUUCGGGAGGAACUUAGUGGCGGACGGGUGAGUAACGCGUGGGUAACCUGCCCUGUGCAGGGGGACAACAGCUGGAAACGGCUGCUAAUACCGCAUAAGCCCUUAGCACUGCAUGGUGCAUAGGGAAAAGGAGCAAUCCGGUACAGGAUGGACCCGCGUCUGAUUAGCCAGUUGGCAGGGUAACGGCCUACCAAAGCGACGAUCAGUAGCCGAUCUGAGAGGAUGUACGGCCACAUUGGAACUGAGACACGGCCCAGACUCCUACGGGAGGCAGCAGUGGGGAAUAUUGCACAAUGGAGGAAACUCUGAUGCAGCGACGCCGCGUGAGUGAAGAAGUAUUUCGGUAUGUAAAGCUCUAUCAGCAGGAAAGAAAAUGACGGUACCUGACUAAGAAGCACCGGCUAAAUACGUG
rnacentral:rRNA from 1 species